rnacentral:RNase_P_RNA from 1 species
GGAGCAGGUCGGACGGUCGCGGCGCGAAUCGCGCCGAGGAAAGUCCGGGCUCCGCAGGGCAGGGCGCUGGGUAACGCCCAGCGGGGGCGACCCCAGGGAGAGUGCCACAGAAACAGACCACCGUCGCGCGCGCACGCGGCGGCCAGGGUGCAACGGUGGGGUAAGAGCCCACCGGCGGGCUGGCGACAGUCCGGCCAGGCAAACCCCGCCCGGAGCAAGGCCAGGUAGGGGGAGAUGAGGCGGCCCGCCGAUCCCCGGGUAGGCUGCUGGAGGCCGCGGGCAACCGCGGUCGCAGAGAGAUGACCGUCGCGCCGCGCGGCGAGCGCGCGGCGCACAGAACCCGGCUUACAGACCUGCUCCCGUU